rnacentral:tRNA from 1 species
GCCGGCGUAGCUCAGUCGGUAGAGCGGCGCACUCGUAAUGCGCAGGUCAGGGGUUCGAAUCCCCUCGCCGGCUCCA